AAUGAAUGCAGAUGUAGAGAAUUUGCUUUAGUAAUGGCUCUUAUUCUUGGUAUACUUCCAAAUCUCAAUUAUGUUUCUUUAUUAUUUCCUCCAAUCUCCAUUAUCCUUCAAUCUUUCUGAAUUGUCAAUUUCAAGAUCUCUAAAAUCUUACAAAUGUUGAUCCUCUUUUCUAUGGACCUUACCAUUCUAAUUCCAUAAAUAAGUUUUCAGAGCUCAAAAAAAUGAGAUCUAAUGAGAGCAAACUCAUUUUAUUAGGGGUAGAAAAUGAAUCAUCUGAUGAUCCAUAAUUUAAGAUACAGAACCUAAGAUACAGAAAAGAGGCAAAAUGAAAAUUUGAAAAGCCACCCAUAACAGAACACGACAACUACUUACAUCACAAACUAAGUGAUACGCACCGUAUCACUAAUAACACUAUCACACACAUCUUCAAUAAUGUGAAAUUUGAAAAAUAUGACAACAUGAUUUACUGGGUUAAAAGAAGGGCUACUCUCAAAAAGGUU
rnacentral:lncRNA from 1 species